AUUGUUCUAGUUUCUGCCACGGAUAGUGCUUGACGCCGGUGUGCAUGUGCUGAGCACUGCGCUGCUGCUUUCUGCCACCACAAGCUACUCCAGGCCCAUUCUGCCUCAGUCCUAACGUCUCCAAGGAGCACGGGGGCCCCAGUCUAUCUCUUAAGAAGGGCGUUAGGGACCAGUGUCUGUCCGCGUGCUCCUAAGCCUCCCACUUCUCACGGUUCCCCAGGCGCCGUACAGGCUAUCACCUCCUCCCCAGAGCUUGGCUGCCCACCGUGCUGCACCACCUCCAUGUUUCCUGUAUUCCUUCUCCCCAUCGAUGCUUCCUCCUGCAGCUCAAGGCACCAUUCUCAGGCACAAAUCUGAUCAUGUCAACCAUUGUUCUCAGGGGUCAGAAGUGGUUUCCAAUGUUGCAGUUUUGAAUUUUGAACUGAACUCAUCUGGACUGUGGGUAUUCGCCAGCCUGAGCAGGUGGCCUGAGAAGUAAAGUGGACAGCAGAAGGCUGUGUUGGGUGAAGAUUGUGAAAGGUCAUGAACUCCACGGUGGAGAGCUGAAGUUUGUCCUGUGACCGCAGAGAAUCCUUAAAAACAGAUGUUCAAUGGAGAACGACUACACUGUUAUUUUUUUUAAAUAAAAAAAGCAUGUGUUAAUUAUAAAAA